AACCCAUGAUGAGGAAAAUCUCUCUGAUAUCCAUUGAAUCGUUCCCAUGAAGCCUUGAAUGCUUCAGACGGCCCUUGAGAGAAUGUAGAGAUCUUAGCUCGCAGAUC
rfam:Arabis alpina cultivar Pajares Aa.chr6_contig_1195, whole genome shotgun sequence.